GGGCUGGUAGCUCAGCUUGGUAGAGCACUUGGCUUUUAACCAAGUGGUCGCGGGUUCGAAUCCCGUCCGGCCCA
rnacentral:tRNA from 1 species